AUAAUAAUUAGUUUCUUGAUUAGAAACUAGAAUGAAUGAUUGAAUAAAAUAUAAGCUUUUUUUAAUUAAUUUAAGUAAAAUUUAAAUUUUUAUUUAAAAAGAUAAAAUUUUUAAAAAAGACGAGAAGACCCUAUAGAUUUUUAUUUUUUUUAAAUAAAAAUUAUUUAUUUAAUUAAAUUUUAUUGGGGGGAUAUAAAAAUUUAUUAAACUUUUGUUAGAUAUUAACAAUAAUAUUUGUAUUUUAGAUUUUAAACUAUUAUUUUUAAAUAAAGAUUAAAAUACCUUAGGGAUAACAGCGUAAUUUUAAUUUUAAGAUCUUAUUAAAAUUAAAGAUUGC
rnacentral:rRNA from 1 species